rnacentral:rRNA from 1 species
UACGGGGGGAGCAAGCGUUGUUCGGAUUUACUGGGCGUAAAGGGCGCGUAGGCGGCCACCGCAAGUCGACUGUGAAAUCUCCGGGCUUAACCCGGAGCGGCCAAGUGAUACUGUCGUGCUAGAGUGCGGAAGGGGCUACUGGAAUUCUCGGUGUAGCGGUGAAAUGCGUAGAUAUCGAGAGGAACACCUGCGGCGAAGGCGGGUUGCUGGGCUGACACUGACGCUGAGGCGCGAAAGCUAGGGGAGCGAACGGG